AUGUUGCAAUAUUUUUCAAGGCAGAGUAUUGUCCCAGAUGGAGGAGGAAACCCUGACAAGCAGAAAAAAGGAGAUACCUGGGGCUCGGAGGCAGCACCGGGAAGGGGGGGGGGGGCGCCCUGGGCUCAGAGCCUCGCAGCUCUUUGUUGGGGGCGGGGGAGCCCUCAUUUCCGUGGAAGAAAUGGCUCCCCUCGGCCAAGUCCCUCCGCGCUCGCGCUCGCGCUCGGGGCUCCGCGACCCCCGCGGCCCCCAGGCCCCGCCCCUCCCAGUUGGUGCGGACCCCACAGCGCGUGGACUGCGGUGCCUUUAAGACUUUUGCCUGCUGCACAUGCUCAGCUCUUUGUGCGUUGUCGGAGUUUUUCUAAGAAAAAAAAAAGAAGAAAUAGGCAGGAGGCUGGGGCGGGGGAGGGGGAAACGCGGGGGGAACGCGCUGCACUUUCGCAGCUGCGGCCGGCCGACGGGAAGGGCCGCUUUUUUGCUGAAGCUGCGAAGCCGGCCGGGUCCGCCCCUCGGCUGCUGGGGCUCCGGGGCGCGUGGCGCGAGCGGGGCCGGGGAGGGCACGAGGACCGCACCUGGGGCCAGCCUCCGCCGCGCGCGCGGGCCGGGGGGGGGGGGCGCGGGGGAGUCCCCGGUCCCUGUCAGGGCGGGGCGAGACCACGGCGCUGGGCCCGGGGGGGGGGGACACGUGGGCUCGCGCGGGGGGCGCAGGCGGCCCGGCCCCCCGCGCGCUCCAGCCGCAGCCCCGGCGCCCGGCUGACGGCCCGGGGGAGACGGCGGCGGCCGGGGGCGCGCUGGCCGCCGGCCCGGCGGUGCGGGACUGAGCCCCGCUUCCCGGAUUCCCCUCCCGCGUUGGGCGCGCCCACCUCGGGGCUCCCGCGGCCCCCGCCCUCCCCGGCGCGCGGGGCUGGAGCGCAGGCAGUUGGCGCGAGCCGCGGGCGAGGCGGGGCCGCGCGCGGGUCCCCUCCCCUCCCCUCCCCCUCCCCUCCCCCCCCCCCGCCCCCUCCCCCGCCCGCAGGUCCCCUCCGGAGCGCCCCGCGCCGCCCGCGCCGCCCGCUCUCCGCCUCCGCCUCCGCCUCCGCCUCCGGCCGGGCCCCGGGGCGCCGCGGCGCCGGGCUCGGCUCGCGGAGGACAAGGUCAGGAGAGCGAGAGGCGAUGCCCGAGGGCGCCUGGCGGGAGCCGAGCGGAGGCGACGGCGACGGCGACGGGGGUCUGUCCCUGCUGACCCGGGAGCGGGACUGGGGCAGGCGCCGGUGA
rnacentral:lncRNA from 1 species